CCUACGGGUGGCAGCAGUGGGGAAUAUUGGACAAUGGGCGAAAGCCUGAUCCAGCAAUACCGCGUGUGUGAAGAAGGCCUUCGGGUUGUAAAGCACUUUAAGUUGGGAAGAAAAAGCUUCACCUAAUACGUGAAGCCUUGACGGUACCGACAGAAUAAGCACCGGCUAACUCUGUGCCAGCAGCCGCGGUAAUACAGAGGGUGCUAGCGUUAAUCGGAUUUACUGGGCGUAAAGCGUGCGUAGGCGGUUUGAUAAGUCGAUUGUGAAAGCCCCGGGCUUAACCUGGGAAUUGCGGUCGAUACUGUCAGACUCGAAAACGGUAGAGGGAGGCGGAACUCCAGGUGUAGCGGUGAAAUGCGUAGAUAUCUGGAAGAACACCGAUGGCGAAGGCAACCUCCUGGGCCUGUUUUGACGCUGAGGCACGAAAGCGUGGGUAGCAAACAGGAUUAGAUACCCCUGUAGUC
rnacentral:rRNA from 1 species